ensembl:lncRNA
GGACAAAAAGAAGCCAAACUGGACCAGGGUCCUCCUGGGAGUCUGGGUUUGGUCCUUGGGGCUGCCUGGGUGACCAUCCUGCCCAACUGUGAGUCCUCUGGUCACUCUGCAUCACCCUCCAGUGUUUCCUUGUAACACCCAUCCUGCUGUGACAUAGUCUUAUUUUUAUAUGUGUUUGCUUACUCAUUGUCUAUCUCACCCUCGGGAAAGUAAGGUACCAAGUUAGAGUGGCAACAUUGUUUCUCUUCUCUGCUGUUUCCCCAGAAUCUGGAAAAGUGUCUGACUUAUCCUUCGUGCUCAAUAAAUUUUUGCAGAAUGAAUGAACUAACUAGUGACCCUCUGAUGGCCUCUUGCUUCCCCCACUCAGUGGAAGGUGGGGCUCCCCAAGCCCCAUGCCUCCCUCAGACACCAGUCACUCUGUCCAGGUCCCAAAGACUCUCUCCUCCCAGAGGACUUUUUAUGUCUAAAACUGAGCCCCUACCCUAGCCAGCACUCCCAUCUAAGCAAAUAGCAACUCCAAUGACCCACUUGUUCAGACCAAAGUGCCAGCCCGCCCAGACUCCCGCCUCGCUUCCCUCCAGUGCUUUGGCAGAUCCUGUUGGGUUCACUUCCAGCUAUAUCCUGACUCCGACCACCUGCCAUGGCCCCCAUCACUGCCACUGACUCUCUCCUUGACUGCAACAAGCUCCUAAUGGGGUCCCCCGCUCCCCGGGGGGCCUUCUGAAACUAUGACUCGGAUUGCCUCACUCUCUGCUCAUCACUCUCCAACAGCUCCCUUCACACGCGGAGUAGAAUCAGAGUCGUCACCAGACCCACAAAGCCCCACGUGGCUGGCCCUGCUUAUCUCAUCACCUCACUGCCUUCCUGUCUCUGCUUCACACACUCUGUUCCAGCCGCCGGCUGCUCACUGUUCCUCAAGCACACCAAGCAUAUCCGGCCCCAGAGCUCAGUACCUGCCGUUGCCCUGACCUGGAGCCUUCCUCCCACGUAUCCACAUGACUCCCUCUCGCUUCUUCAGGUCUCGGCUCAAACAUUUCAUCAGAAGGACUUCCCUGACCACUCGAUGGAGGACAGAGUCCUUACCUGCUUCCCGUUUCUUCGUGGCACUUUCCGGACUUCCCAGUGCCCUUCACGGCCCUUUGUUUCUCUGUUUAUUGGGUGUCAUUGCCUCAAAAGUGUAAGCUCCCAUGGGGCUGGCCCCGUGGCGGAGUGGUUAAGUUCGCGCACUCUGCUGCAGGCGGCCCAGUGUUUCGUUGGUUCGAAUCCUGGGCGUGGACAUGGCACUGCUCAUCAAACCGUGCUGAGGCAGCGUCCCACGUGCCACAACUAGAAGGACCCACAACGAAGAAUAUACAACUAUGUCCUGGGGGGCUUUGAGGAGAAAAAGGAAAAAAAUAAAAUCUUUUAAAAAGAAAAAAUGUAAGCUCCCAAAGGGCAGGGACUUUGUCACUUUAUGUGCUGCUGUGUCCCCAUGUCUAGAACAGGGCCUGCCAUGUUGCAAAUGCUCAAUAAAUAUUUGUUGGAUGAAGACAGAAUGAUGACUGCAGGAGUGACCCUUGAAGGAAGCAGGGCCCUGGGCCAGGGAGGGGUGGGAUGGAGCUCAGGUCCAGGGGUCUCGGUCAGCGCACAGGGCCCCAGUCCUCACCCCUCCCUGCCUCCUCAGCCUGUGCCAUCCAGGGUCGUCGUGCCCACCUCCUGGGACUCUGGGCUAAGCCAGCCACUCACUUUGGCCGGGAGGAUGUUAGCAGAGGAGACACAGCAGAGGGCGGUGCCUUUCCGCCUGCUCAGGCCCUCUGCUUCACUAUGAGAACAUGCCCGGGCAAGCCUGCUGGAUGAUGGGAGACCCAGGAUAUGUGGGGGAGAACACUCUGGACCGAGGGAACAGCAAGGCCCAAAGGCAGGAGCUUGCCUGGAGGGCUUGAGAGACAGCAAAAGGCCAGCAUGGUGGCAGCCCAGUGAGGGAGGGGAGAGUUGCAAGGAGGCCAUAGGCGUCAGACCACAGAGGGCUUCGUAGACCGUGGUUCCUGUCUGUCUCAAUGGGUUACGGAGAACCAGGCCCCUUUCUAGCCAAGCUCCAGAGACAGGUGCCUGGGUUCAAGUCCCUGUUCAUUUAGAUCCGUAUGAAUUUGGGAAGGCUACUAAACCACCAGCCUCACUUUCCUCCUUGGAAAAAUGGCAGUAACUUCAAGGACAAGACCCACUGAGAUGCUGGAAUUAAAGCACCGAGCUCAGAGCCUCACACUGUUCCACAAGGGUUAGCUAUUACACCAGCCAUGGAAAGAAGACCAGUGUAAGGAUCCUCUGGAAGCACUUGGUCUGUUUACGUGACUGCACCGUGUUUGGCAAGCUCUCCGAGUGGCAUAAACAAGCCGCACUCCAG